UCACUACACGAAUGUUCCACGUCCAUCAAACGGUCGCUGCUGCUACUCAUGUUGAGAUCUCAGCGGCCACUAUGCAUCACUGCUGCAGGAUUCUUCCCUCUCUCCAGGGAGUCCUUCGUGGCGAUUUUAAACCUCUCUUACUCAUUCUUCGCCAUUCUUCGAAAUUUCAAGGAGGAUUAAAAAUGGACGGACUCUGCUUCUAUACUCAUUGCUGUUUUAUUGUGAUAUAAUAUCCCUGUCUAAAGUAAUAAAGCGUUGCAGACCUAAAAACAA